rnacentral:rRNA from 1 species
UACGUAGGGGGCAAGCGUUGUCCGGAUUUAUUGGGCGUAAAGAGCGUGUAGGCGGCUUUGCAAGUCCGUUGUGAAAACUCGAGGCUCAACCUCGAGACGCCGGUGGAAACUGCAAAGCUAGAGUCCGGAAGGGGCGAGUGGAAUUCCUGGUGUAGCGGUGAAAUGCGCAGAUAUCAGGAGGAACACCAAUGGCGAAGGCAGCUCGCUGGGACGUGACUGACGCUGAGACGCGAAAGCGUGGGGAGCAAACAGG